AGAUAGAUAGAUAGAUGGAUAGAUAGACACAUGUGUCUGUGUGUGCGUGUGUAUGUGUGUGCGUGUUUGUGUGUAUGUCUGCUCACAUCUCCAUAUCUCUCACUGGAGAUUUGUUCAUAUACAGUGCAGUAAAUAAUGAAUUGGGUCUUAUAUCUACCACAUUUAAAUUGAUUGCUACAGGGUCAAGCAUCUGGUAAUAUUUAUGGGUCAUGGAUGGUCAUGGAUUGCAAAGGAUUUGCAACCGAGCACUAAACAAAACAAUUGUAUUUACUUUCAUUACAGUCCCCUGAAACGGAGGUAUUAUGAUUCUGAAAAGAUGAUUAUAUGGUUCACCCUGUAUAGUAGGUGAUGUGAUUACACAUGCAGUAGAAGACAGCAACAGUGGCAAGUAAAAUAUGAGAUACUUAAUUUUAUUUAAAAAGUAAAUUACUCUGCACUGUCCCUCAUUUACCUUAAAUCUACAAAGGCUACUGUUUUAAAACCAGUUCAUUAGCUGUUUUUGUUUUUAUGUGGAAACAACAGAGGGGAAAUUGAGUUGAACAACUUUUAAACAGUUUAAUUGCUGCUUUAAUGCUGUUGUAAUGGCCUCUGAUGUCUGCACAGCAGCUUCUUAUGUAAAUUUUUGUACAAUAAUGUAUAUUUGGAUUUAAUUUCUCGAAUGACCCUGAUUCUAAUAGUCUCUUAAUGGGAGUUAAUCUUCUGAGUAUAAGUGAACCUCAUCUUAGCUUUGUACUUAGUGGGAAAAUCUGAAUGGGACAGGAAGGCUCUUUACUCUAACCUUGUUAGAACUACAGUGUUGGGUGCCUCAAGGACGACCUGAGCAAGCACCAGAGGAAGUGAACCAUGUAAUCACAGAAAUAUGUCUUUGUUACAGUCUGUAGGGUGAAGUUUAACUAAACAGCACUAUGCCGUUGUGGAGACGUUCAGGCACAUUGAACUGUGGAUAAAGGGCAUAAAAUACCGCACUGUGACUUAAGGAAAGGCCAGGGAUACUAUGAACAUGCAAAGUAGGGAAGGCAGGCUGCACAGUGAUUGGUUAAACCUGCUGGUAUCUGAGAGGCUGGAAAGAGAGGGUGUGUAUGGAGUUGUGCAGGUCUUAUAUUGCUGGAAAACAGUCUCCAACAGCCUCCGCAUACAGCUGUCACAUGACUCGCUUGAGUGCCAUUUUAAGUAGGAGCAGUGCAUUUGCUUCUGUCAUGCUAGUUAAACAAAUGGAUGGCUGGGCAGGUCAGAAAAACUUUGAAUGUACACAAAAGGACAGGGGUCUGGAACUAGCUCUACAGUGGACAUUUCUUGGCACACCUUCAUUUGAUACAGUACCCUCUUCCUAAUCAAGAUAGAUUCAAGGGCAGAGAAAGUAUGAAAGGAGAAAUUGAAAAUGGCGAGUUUACACACUGUGUGGGGGUGGAGAACAAAAGAGAUAAAGCGGGAGAUAAUAAAAUAGUGUAAGUUUUUUUUUUCCAAUUGAUAAAAAAAUUAAAAUCAUGGAUUACUAAAGGAUUAAAGGACGAUAAAUGUACAGGGAAGUAAACAAAAGCACCUCAGCACAUUUAGAUGGCUAGUUGAAAAUCAGCAUCAGAGAGUAUACUGUUUGUUCUUUCUUUGGAGGAAAAUUCAAUUAAAGAUUGUACAUAUCAGAGGA